GGACAACUAGCCAUUAUUACAUUUAAAAAAAAUUAAAAAAUGUACACAUUUAUUUUGGGAUUGCACCCCUGUAAAUGUAAUUUGCGUGUUGACGCACGAGUGGAAGAGUGUCUCAUUUCAUGCAAGCACAUUUGUUUCCACAUUUUCUCUCCUUCCCUUCCAUCUUCUCCUCGAUUACCUUUGAACUUGUUCAAAAAGAGGCGGGAGAGAACGGAGGAAGGAGGAGUUAGCUAAACCAAUUGAGCAUCUCCCUGAGAGGGAGACUGAGAAAGUGAUUGAGUGAAAAGGAGAGUGGGAGAACCGAAAACAGGGUGGGAAAGAGAGAUGCACAGAAAAAGAGAGAGAAAGAAGCCAGGCUUGGCAAACAGAGUGAAGAGGGGAGGCUUUAAAAGAGAGGGAUUCCAAAAUGAUGGCCGUCUUCUCCAUUUUACUGGCUUGAUCCCAGGAUGGACACGGGAUGUGAAGAGAGCAGGUGGCUGACAGGCUCACAGCGACAGUAGGACCCUUGGCAGGCAGAGAGGUCGCUGAGCUCUGAGAACAACAGUUAGUUGGGUGGGUGAGUAACAUUGUGUUCAUGUUUGUUGGAUGAGUUCUAGAAUAGAACACUAGUAGACUGGUUAGAUGUUGUUACGUAUUUCUUACAGUCAUUUAUUGUUGCUAGAUAAUGAUUGCUGUAAUGAAUUGUGCAUGCAAAAUUUUAUCAUUUUCCUAUACUGUCUAAUAUUGUAAUGUGUUAUGUUUUCUUUAUGUUGACGUGAAGAGAAUAGUAUCUAAAGAUAUUAUAUUAUUCUUAUAAAGUUACUGCAGUUCUUCUUCACAGUUCUACAGUUAAGAGGUAGUGUCCAAAGUGUGGAGGAUGAUGUCACACGUCAGCUGUCCUCAUAGCUGGGCUACCAUGGCAACGACAUUCAUCAGAAUGACUUCCUGCUAAAGCAAAGUACUGUCACGAUCACAUUCUGUACUGACAGAUCACUUUAUACUGAUAAUUAUUGUGUUUGUGUAAGGUUAAGCAUAGAAAUGCUAAGCCAAACGAGUGGACUGUCUUUGUAAAUUUACUUGUCAUCCAUGUCACAACUGCUGCACAGAGUUUCUAAAUAAGCAAAGUAUCCUCCAAAAUCUUUGCUGCUGCCGUGCAUCCACUGCAUCCCUACUGUCCGGCAGGGAAAGUCUUCCCCCAGAGGCUGGUUUCACAUGGUGGUUUAGAUUAAUGUUCCCAGUGUCUAGCACCAUUUGAAAUCAGUGUUCUUGGGGACAGGAGAACAGCACUGUGCCUCUGGUAGUGUCAGUCUACUGGAGCCAUCCUCUCUCUCUCCCCUUUAAAGGAUGACUGAUUUCCUCUGGUGUUUAGAGCCCCUUACAGCCUUCUAGCACCAUUUGAAAUCGGUUAUAAUAACUGGGGAUCAAUGCCUCGAUGUCUUCACGAUGUCUACAUGUCAACUCUACAGUCAAGCAGACAGGAAAUGAAUUGGAUGAAUGUUCAUAUGGUACGUGUCACAGGGUUCUGCUCCACAGAUCCUGGAAUCGAAAUGAGUUGGACGGGAGCUCAUUUCCAGUGGGACAGUUUUAAAGUUUUUAUUGAAUAAAUGUUCAAUAAAACUGAAUUGAUAUUGCAUACUUAUCUUACUUUUUCCUGUGUGUAUGUUAUCACAUUUGUGUCCGUGGUUCUGAACCUGCAUGUGAACUAUAUAACCCUGUUCUGCUAGGUAUAAAACUUAUCCGAGCUCAAGGGAUCAUAACAAGUCUUUUCACAAUACCCUCACUCAUAACAGAUUUAAUCACUGUUAUAUCUAGAAGCACUCAACACAAUCCAACACUUACUUUAUAACGUGAUAAUGGAAACAGGAAAGGCCUUUUAUUGCAGGACUUGUCCCAGACACUGCACAGAACCACAGAAGAUAGCGUCUACUGAGUACGGAAUCUUAAACCGGGAAAGUUCCUGUUCUGUAAUGUGGAUGAAUGAGUUCCAAGGAAGCCUGAUGUUCUCAAUAAGGUUUUAAAGUUGUGGAAGUUUAUCUUAUCUCUGCUCAGUGUCCCUGUCGCCUGUGUUACCAUGUCACUCUCCGGGUCUGACAAGACAUGCAGUGCACAACUGGCAUCUAUUCAUUUAGUGUGUUGUUAGGUGUAGAUAAAGGUGUGGUUGGAUAGGGCGACGGCAUUGAUGGUGGUUAGCAUGGUAGUAUGAACAUGAUCAUGGAUUUGAACUUGGAGACCAUCCCAGAGAAUGCAGUUGAACUGGGAGAGGAAGAGGAGGAGGCAAAGGAAGAAAAAUAAGUGCCUCUCCACAUUCAAGCGCUCCAGUAGUACAACUUGGACCCGAGGUCAUUCUGUGUACAUGAUUAUUAGCUGAGAUACUAUGCAAUUUCAACUCACAUCAUUCUUUUAGAACCUGCCAUUAUUCCAUAAUGAGCUAUUUCCCUCAAAUCAAUGGGGUUUUAAUGGAGCCUAGUUGUCCUAGCAUCUCUCCCAUUGCCCUAGGGCACUGCAGUAGUACACUUUUCCUUUCACCUUGGUGGCCUUGUAUGAGUCAAAUGCAAACAGACAUCAAUGCCACCAAUAUAUUACCUGACUGUAUGGGCGUUUCAACCCCCAUAGGUGAGCUUUUCACAGGUGGUUGGUGGUACCCUAAUUGGGGAAGACACGCUCGUUGUAAUUGUUGGAAUGGAAUGACUGGUAAGAAACACAUCAAACCUGUGUUAUUAUGAGCCAUUCUUCCCUCACCAGCCUCCUGUGGAGCCUGUAUUGGCUAGGUUGAAGACAAAAUAGGUAAGGACAAGUUGCAUUCAUGAAAUUAAACAGAUUCCUGUUUAUUCUAGUUGAUAACAAGCAUCGCCUGG
rnacentral:lncRNA from 1 species